AUGUGCGGCGCCACUGCGCUCUUGAUGGCUCUCUUGCUAGUGCCGGUGAUUCCCGUGGCAGAAGCUGCUCGAGUUAAGGUGCAGGCGCUGAAUACCCGGGGCGGUACCUACAAUGGCAGCACCACCGUUGGCCGAAAGCAAGAAGCCAUGGGAAGCGGUGGAGAUGGUGGAGGCGAGGGGAGUAGCGGCGGCAGUUCUUGGGGAUACGGCUGGGGGUGGGGGUGGGGAUGGGGCACUGAGGGCGGCGGUGGAGGCGGUGGAGGAGGAGGCGGCGGAGGAGGUCGCGGCGGUGGCAAGGGCACCAGGCCGGGGUGGCGCGGAAACGGAAGCCGGCCGGGGGCGGCGCGCGCGAGGAGAGCGCGGCACCGGCCCAGCUACAGCUCGAGCAUGUACGCGCGUUGCACGGCGCCGGGGAGGUGCCGGGGCAUGAAGCUGCUGUGCCCGAUGCAGUGCGACGGCCCUUGCUUCUACGACUGCGAUGCCAACUGCAAGGCGCACUGCCGAUUCUAG
rnacentral:rRNA from 1 species